rnacentral:rRNA from 1 species
UACGUAGGGGGCUAGCGUUGUCCGGAAUCAUUGGGCGUAAAGAGCGUGUAGGCGGCCCGGUAAGUCCGCUGUGAAAGUCGGGGGCUCAACCCUCGAAAGCCGGUGGAUACUGUCGGGCUAGAGUGCGGAAGAGGCGAGUGGAAUUCCUGGUGUAGCGGUGAAAUGCGCAGAUAUCAGGAGGAACACCAAUUGCGAAGGCAGCUCGCUGGGACGUUACUGACGCUGAGACGCGAAAGCGUGGGGAGCAAACAGG